UAAAAAACUGUACGGUACACCUUUUGGAGGGUCUUUGUCUUUAUAAAAACACAAACCCAAACGAUGUAUUCCCAAUCAAAAGUCAAGCUCACUGUAACUUCAGUUUCUCUUCGUAUGAAUACUAUUAACACCGAUGCUUGCGAUACAGAGAUAGAGAAGGAGGAAAAAAAAACCUUGCGAUACAGAGAUGAGAAGGAGACAGAGUUCGUACCUGCCACCGUCCGUUCCCUUGCCAGAAUUAUACCACUCGAACCGGAGGUAACCUAAAGGUGCACGCAGUAAUUGAGAUACAAACAUAGAGAGAACUACCACCGGUUUGGAGAUGGCAAAGAUAGAGAAAUAAGAGAGAAUCUGAAUUCGUUAUUUGGAAAGAGCAUUGGUAACAAGAGAAAUCUAUCAUCUUCCUGUCAGAACGCUAGAAACCUUUAUCGGGUGAUACUAUUGCACUUCCUGUUUUUAUUUUUAUUUUUUGGCAACACAAAGUGGCACAACUACACAAUUGAAGAGCUCAUCACAAAGAGCUUACAACGUUGACAUUGUCCUCUUUAGCAAUCAGAUUGGCCAAAUGAAUACGAAGAAAGGUGCUUCAUAGACAACAGUACCUAAUCUUUCUCCCUCUCUUUUCGGUAUUGGAACACCAUUUUUUCUUUUUUCUUUUUUCCUUUUGGGUUUUUAAUUUUGGCGGAUUAUUAGUGGAACACCAGUGUUUGAAGAAAUGCUUAAACUGAACUUUGGAUUGGAUGUGUGGAACCCAAUUGUUUAUGCACGUACAAUGCUAUUUACAGAUUUCUUUUGAAUUUUGUUGUGAAUUGUGAUAUCAAUAUUUGGUUAAGUAUAAGUACGUGGGAUUGGCCUGUGUAUGCUCAACAUACAUAUUCAUAUUGGUAUAUUUAAUUUGUGUUGGCCAAUUGGGUUUGUGUAUGACCUUGGAUCCUUGCUGUCUAAUUGUUACUUUCUCUCUCAAAAGGCUAAAUACUUUGUUAUGUUGAGUUAUUUGGGUUUUGUUUGAAUGAUUUUUGCUGUUUUUUACAGGUAAACUUUGGCAUUGGUAAUUAUUAUUAUUAUUUAAUUUUCUAUUAAUAAAGCAUAUUUACACUCAAAA